GUACCUGCCUGCUGAAGAUAACACAGCCUUGAAACUCUUUUUCUCUCUUUCUCUCUAUUACCACAACAAUUUAAGGUGGCAGCACUGACUGAACGAUAGAAGGAUGAGUUGGAGACUGUGGUUUGGAGACGAAGUUAAGGAGGCACACUUGGCUGACUUGGUUCAGACGUGUGCAGAGGAGGGAGAGUGACUAUAUUGGACAAAGGAUGUCCAAUAUAGUAUAUGGAGGGAGAAAGGACAACAGAGGAGGGUGAAGAAGUCACUUGGAUGAGUGAUGAAAAUGUUCCUACGACCAAAAGUGAACAGAGUUUUGUGGGAUUGAGCUGGAUGAUUGAGCAUGGAUCAACACACAUCAAAGAAUCUCAUGGAUGUCAUGAAGGAGGACAUGUGGAGAAGGGUGCGGAUGAUCUGCAGUAGGGGCCACUGAAGGGAGCAGUUAAAAAAAGAAGUAGUACUGAAACUGGGUUACUAGUACCCAGCUGUUAAUGUGGUGUUGUUGUGGUGUGAAAAAGAAAAAAGUGUUUUUUUCCUCUGAGCUAUGAAGUUUUGACAAUUUAAGUAUCACAAAGUGCAUGAGGAUUCACUCAGAUAUUACUUACUGUGUCGUUGUAAAAAAUACACCGAUGAACAUGUAUUCAAAACCAAUCUAUAUAAACUAUUAAAGUAAUUACUUGUGGGGAACAAA